GAAGAUUUUAUUGACCUCAUGUGAUUUGCAAACUCAAGCUUGAUUGAUUGUAUAUCGAUGGCAGGUCGAUUUGGAACUAAGAGGUUGAAAUUAUAUUCGUAUUUUUAACAGAUUAUCUAAACUUUGAGAGAAGUGGCUGUGAUUUUGAAUGUGCCGAGAGGUGGCGUUGUCCAUUAG